rnacentral:lncRNA from 1 species
GGAGAGCAGAGGACCAGCGGGAGUGUCAGUGAGCAGCAGCCCAGACAGCAGGGAGCCAGGCAUCUGGCUGUACCUGGGGUGGGAGGCGGGAUGUCCGGUGGACCCAGUCCUCAUCCCCUGGCCGGUCCCGGCCCGUCUGCUGGCAGAGCUGCAGGGCAUGGUGUUCGAGGAGCGAGGCCACCCUUCCAACAGGCUGAGGCACCUGGGUAGGGACUGGAAGCAGCAGGGGACUCGCCUGGAACUCCCGUGGCUCUGGAGGUGCUGCAGCUUGGGAGUGCGAAGGUGGGGCGGGACCCAAGGCAGUGCCAGCUGGUCCCGAAUUUGGCUCCCAAUGGCCCGGAGGAGAAUAGCUGAGUCACCUAUGGGGGAUAGGGAGGAAGUGAAUCAGAUGUCAAUGCUGCAAAUCCAAAAGGGCAUACCCUAGGAGACCAGCCUCCACUCCUGACCCCCAUCCAGAGAUACACAUCUAUCCAGCUUGCGUUCUCACGUUCAGUCAUUCAACAAACACCGAGCACCUACUAUGUACAGGUCGCUGUUCUAGACACUAGGGCUACUUCGUGGAACAA